rnacentral:rRNA from 1 species
UAACAAUUUUACAGGCGAGCGGCGGAAGGGAUGAGUAAUGUCUGGGAAAUACUUGGAGGAGGGGUUUAAUUAAUGGAAACGGUAGUUAAUACCGCAAACCUCGAAAGAGCAAAGUGGGGGAUCUUUUGACCUCACGCCAUCGGAUGGGCCCAGAUGGGGAUUAGCUAGUAGGUGAGGUAAUGGCUCACCUAGGCGACGAUCCCUAGUUGGUCUGAGAGGAUGACCAGCCACACUGGAACUGAGACACGGUCCAGACUCCUACGGGAGGCAGCAGUGGGGAAUAUUGCACAAUGGGCGCAAGCAUGAUGCAGCCAUGCUGCGUGUGUGAAGAAGGCCUUAGGGUUGUAAAGCACUUUCAGCGAGGAGGAAGGCAUCAUACUUAAUACGUGUGGUGAUUGACGUUACUCGCAGAAGAAGCACCGGCUAUCUCCGUGCCAGCAGCCGCGGUAAUACGGAGGGUGCAAGCGUUAAUCGGAAUUAAUGGGCGUAAAGCGCACGCAGGCGGUUUGUUAAGUCAGAUGUGAAAUCCCCGCGCUUAACGUGGGAACUGCAUUUGAAAAUGGCAAGUUAGAGUCUUGUAGAGGCGGGUAGAAUUCCAGUUGUAGCGGUGAAAUGAGUAGUGAUCUGGAGGAAUACCGGUGGCGAAGGCGGCCCCCUGGACAAAGACUGACGCUCAGGUGAGAAAGGGUGGGGAGCAAACAGG